rnacentral:rRNA from 1 species
UACGUAGGGUGCAAGCGUUAAUCGGAAUUACUGGGCGUAAAGCGUGCGCAGGCGGUUGUGCAAGACAGAUGUGAAAUCCCCGGGCUCAACCUGGGAACUGCAUUUGUGACUGCACGGCUAGAGUGUGUCAGAGGGGGGGUAGAAUUCCACGUGUAGCAGUGAAAUGCGUAGAUAUGUGGAGGAAUACCGAUGGCGAAGGCAGCCCCCCUGGGAUAACACUGACGCUCAUGCACGAAAAGCGUGGGGGAGCAAAACAGG